rnacentral:rRNA from 1 species
GAUGAACGCUGGCGGCGUGCUUAACACAUGCAAGUCGAACGGAAAGGCCCAAGCUUGCUUGGGUACUCGAGUGGCGAACGGGUGAGUAACACUUGGGUUAUCUGCCCUGCACUUCGGGAUACGCCUGUGAAACUUGGUCUAAUACCGGAUAGGACCACUUCUUGGAUGUUGUGGUGGAAAGUUUUUUCGUUGUGGGAUGAGCUCUCGGCCUAUCAGCUUGUUGGUGGGGUAAUGGCCUACCAAGGCGUCGACGGGUAGCCGGCCUGAGAGGGUGUACGGCCACAGUGGGACUGAGAGACGGACCAGACUCCGACGGGAGGCAGAAGUGGGGAAGAGUGCAAAAUGGGAGCAAGCCUGAUGCAGCGACGCCGAGUGGGGGAUGACGGACUUCGGGUUGGAAACUCAGUUCGCUAGGGACGAAGCGUUUUGUGACGGUACCGGGAGAAGAAGCACCGGCUAACUACGUG